rnacentral:rRNA from 1 species
GGCGGCAGGCUUAACACAUGCAAGUCGAGCGGGGGAAGGUAGCUUGCUACUGGACCUAGCGGCGGACGGGUGAGUAAUGCUUAGGAAUCUGCCUAUUAGUGGGGGACAACAUCUCGAAAGGGAUGCUAAUACCGCAUACGUCCUACGGGAGAAAGCAGGGGAUCUUCGGACCUUGCGCUAAUAGAUGAGCCUAAGUCGGAUUAGCUAGUUGGUGGGGUAAAGGCCUACCAAGGCGACGAUCUGUAGCGGGUCUGAGAGGAUGAUCCGCCACACUGGGACUGAGACACGGCCCAGACUCCUACGGGAGGCAGCAGUGGGGAAUAUUGGACAAUGGGCGCAAGCCUGAUCCAGCCAUGCCGCGUGUGUGAAGAAGGCCUUAUGGUUGUAAAGCACUUUAAGCGAGGAGGAGGCUACUUUAGAUAAUACCUAGAGAUAGUGGACGUUACUCGC